UACGUAAGUGGCGAGCGUUAUCCGGAAUCACUGGGCGUAAAGCGUUCGUAGGCGGCGCGGCUAGUUGGGUUUAAAAGCCCGGGGCUCAACUCCGGAUCUGGACCCAAUACUGCCGUGCUUGAGCGGAUCAGAGGGCAGUGGAAUUCCCGGUGUAGCGGUAAUAUGCGUAGAGAUCGGGAGGAACACCAGUGGCGAAGGCGGCUGCCUGGGGUCUUGCUGACGCUGAGGAACGAAAGCCAGGGGAGCAAACGGGAUUAGAUACCCCUGUA
rnacentral:rRNA from 1 species